AGCUAAUACUUGCUUUAGCACUCUUGAUUUAUUUCUUGAGUGUGUACUUGUUAAGCCUUAUAAGAAAAGAGUUAUUAACUUAAGGAAUUAUAACAAAGAAGUAACACGUAAUGGAUCAUUCCAUUUUUAGUGUGUAUCAAUCGAGUUUCUGACCUAUCAGCUUUUGAUGUUAGGGUAUUGGCCUAACAUGGCUAUGACGGGUAACGGGGAAUUAGAGUUCGAUUCCGGAGAGGGAGCCUGAGAAAUAGCUACCACGUCUAAGGAAGGCAGCAGGCGCGUAAAUUACCCAAUUCUAAAGAAGAGAGGUAGUGACAAGAAAUAACAAUACAAGGCCAAUCUGGCUUUGUAAUUGGAAUGAUGGGAAUUUAAAACCUUCCCAAAAUUCAAUUGGAGGGCAAGUCUGGUGCCAGCAGCCGCGGUAAUUCCAGCUCCAAUAGCGUAUAUUAAAAUUGUUGCAGUUAAAACGCUCGUAGUUGAAUUUCAAAGAAUCGAUAUUUUAAGUAACGCUUCUAGCUACAAAUCCACAUAACUGAUGCCUCCGCGUAUCGACUUUGUGCGCAUUUUAGCUAUUAUGUGUUCUUUUAAUUAAAAUGAUUCUUUUUAAGAUUCAUCUAUUAAAAAUUUGCUUCGGCAUAAUUUUUUUUGAUGAUCUUGUUACUUUGAGUAAAUUAGAGUGUUCAAAGCAAACAGAUAUAGCAUUUGUGCGUUUGAAUACUACAGCAUGGAAUAACAAAAUUGAACAAGUCAGAAUUUUUUUGUUCUUUUUUCUUAUUUUGGCUUAGUUACGAUUAAUAGGAGUAGCUUGGGGGCAUUUGUAUUCAGAUGUCAGAGGUGAAAUUCUUAGAUUUUCUGGAGACAAACAACUGCGAAAGCAUUUGCCUAAAAUACUUCUAUUAAUCAAGAACGAAAGUUAAGGGAGUGAAGACGAUCAGAUACCGUCGUAAUCUUAACCAUAAACUAUGCCGACUAGGCUUUGGAUGAAAGAUUUUAAAAUAAGAGUCUU
rnacentral:rRNA from 1 species